CGUAGGGGGCAAGCGUUGUCCGGAAUCAUUGGGCGUAAAGCGCGUGUAGGCGGGUCGGUCAGUCUGCUCUGAAAGUCCAAGGCUCAACCUUGGGAUGCGGGUGGAUACUGCCGACCUAGAGUCCGGAAGAGGCGAGUGGAAUUCCUGGUGUAGCGGUGAAAUGCGCAGAUAUCAGGAGGAACACCAAUGGCGAAGGCAGCUCGCUGGGACGUGACUGACGCUGAGACGCGAAAGCGUGGGGAGCAAACAGGAUUAGAUACCCUGGUAGUCCACGCCGUAAACGAUGGGCACUAGGUGUGGGGGGUGUCGACUCCCCCCGUGCCGAAGCUAACGCAUUAAGUGCCCCGCCUGGGGAGUACGGCCGCAAGGCUA
rnacentral:rRNA from 1 species